rnacentral:rRNA from 1 species
GUGGGGAAUUUUGGACAAUGGGCGCAAGCCUGAUCCAGCAAUGCCGCGUGCAGGAAGAAGGCCUUCGGGUUGUAAACUGCUUUUGUACGGAACGAAACGGUCCGGGUUAAUACCCUGGGCUAAUGACGGUACCGUAAGAAUAAGCACCGGCUAACUACGUACCAGCAGCCGCGGUAAUACGUAGGGUGCAAGCGUUAAUCGGAAUUACUGGGCGUAAAGCGUGCGCAGGCGGUUUUGUAAGACAGGCGUGAAAUCCCCGGGCUCAACCUGGGAAUUGCGCUUGUGACUGCAAGGCUGGAGUGCGGCAGAGGGGGAUGGAAUUCCGCGUGUAGCAGUGAAAUGCGUAGAUAUGCGGAGGAACACCGAUGGCGAAGGCAAUCCCCUGGGCCUGCACUGACGCUCAUGCACGAAAGCGUGGGGAGCAAACAGGAUUAGAAACCCGAGUAGUCC